rnacentral:lncRNA from 1 species
ACGCCAUGGGGCCAGGUAGUUGAGGGCAGCUAGGGUGUCAGACUUGCCCAGAGGGACAUGGGCUAUAGCAAGUGGAAAGAGAAUCAUAGCAGCAAGGGCUUUGCAGCCACACGGACCAAAGUUCAAAUCCCAGUAACUCAGGCUCUGGCAGUGUGAUCUUGAGUAUCACGAACGCCUCUGAGCCUCGGUGUCCUCAUGAAAUGAGGAGAAGAGUUGAGGUUCUGGUAGUGAUCAGCGAGCUGAUGUCUGUGCAGGCCUAGGACCGGGGCUGGCACACAGGGACUCUGAUCAGGGGAGGGAAAGCAGUGAAAGAGCAUAGCUUCCCAGAGAGCUCUGAAGGGGUGGGGGGACCAAAGGGGAAAGAAAAUCACAAGCUCUCUUUGGGACUACCUGUAGGGUGAGCCAGGUUUCAUGAGCAAGGAAAACCUCCAGUUCAUUUCCAGUCUCUCCAUAAAGCCUGAUGUUCCUCCUUUUGCGUUCCUCUGGGUUAU